rnacentral:lncRNA from 1 species
AUUAUUUGUGUGUUAUGUUUCAUUUAUGAAAUAUGUUGUUUAAAAACUGACCAUUGUGAUGGUUAAUUUUAUGUCAACUUGACCAGACCAGAGGAUGCCCAUUAUUCUAUGGGUGUCUGUUAGGUUGUUUUCCAAAAAUAUUAGCCUUUGAGUCAGUGAACUGAAUAAAACAAAUGGCCCUCCCCAAUGCACAUGGGUUUCACCAGAUCACUGGAGGGGCUGAAGAGAACAAAAGAGUAAAGGAAGGGUGGGUUCCUGUUGUCUCUGCCUCAGUGUUUGAACUGAAUAAAUAUCUCCUACCCUUGGCACUUCUGGUCUCAGUUUUCAGAUCUAGGCAAGAAUCUACACCAUCAGCUGUCCGACUCUCACCACCUGCCUUCCUGGGUCUCCAGCUUGCAGAAGGCAGAUCAUGUGACUUCCCAGUCUUCAUAAUCAGGUCAUGCAUUGUUUCCUCGAUGACCCUCUUGUACAACCUCGCACUGGGGAACCAGUCUACAACCUGUGAGGACCAGGAUGUAAGAGAGUCUGCAGCUGGCCCCAUGGAGUCUGCAUGCGAUCAGGAAGUGUUACAUGGAGUUCCUCUUUCACCGAUUAACUUCCCUAAACUUCCAUUAAAAAUCUCGGGGCCAGGGGCGCCUGGGUGGCUCAGUGGGUUAAGCCUCUGCCUUCAGCUCAGAUCAUGAUCGCAGGGUCCUGGGAUCAAACCCUGCAUCUGGCUCUCUGCUCAGCAGGGAGCUUGCUUCUCUCUCUCUCUCUCUCUCUCUCUCUCUCUCUCUGCCUACUUGUGAUCUCUCCCUCUCUGUCAAAUAAGUAAAUAAAUCUUAAAAAAAAAAAAAAAUCUCUGGGCCAGGCAGAACCCUCAGAGUUGGUUUUUGGAGAAGAGUCCUCCUUCUCCCUAGGUGGCCAGCCUCCUGAAUAAAGCUCAUAUUCCUUCCCAAUCACAACUUGUGCUCUUGAAUAUUGGCUUUUCCAGAGUGUGGCAGCUGAAUUUGGGUUUUUCAAUAACACUGAGACGCUUUAAAGUUUUCAUCACGGACUCCAUGAUGAAAUCCCAUUCGGGAUGCCUGGGUGGCUCAGUUGGUAAAGCAUCUGUCCCUCUUCUCCCUCUCCCUCUGCCUGUGCUGCUCCUUAGGCACAUGCGCUCCCUCUCCCUCUCUCUGUCAAAUAAAUAAAGUCUAAAAAAAAU